GGAAAAAACCCUUUGUGUCUGUGGAAAAGCUGAAUAAGAAGAUGGAAAUUAUCAGCAGAGAGAGCUGGUAUGGGAAACCUAAAUGAAAUAAUACGAAAUGACCUCUCCAGCACGAGCACCCACUCCUAGUUGCCACAUUGGAGCACUCAGUUCAGCAGGGGUAUGCUGACUUCAGCAGACAAAGACUUUUGAAUAAAUAAACUGAACUCACACCUGGUACCACUCAGAACCUCCAACUGACUGAAUGCCAGGAGCUGAACAUUAAUAUGUGCAAAGAUUGGCUCUCCAACAAGAAGGAAAGCAGGGAGGAAGGGAGACCACUGUGUCACCUGGAGGAGAAGUCAUCUCAUGACAACAGAAGGGAGGUGGCCGGGCUGAGCACGGGAGACCCACCGUGCAGGGGCCUUUCAUGGGAACGGCCCACACGCAGUUUGACCCCACGCCCAGCCCUUCUGGCACCCCUGGGGUUCAAUACUGGAAGUGCCUUAUUUAACCAGACCAUCAGGGCAUCAUAGAAUUGAGCAUUGAAUUUGCUACUGUAGGAGUAUUUUUAGGAGCAGAAACUGCAAACACAUUUCAUUGUGAGGUUUUACCCUCUGUAUGAAUGAAGAGAACGCUGGAAGGCUGCGAGAGGACUCUAGUAUGAGUCUCCAACAUUUGGAACGUUUCCUGGGCUGUCACGUACACUCCUGCUGCCUUACACAGUGCAUUUUAGAAUCUUCCAGUCUGUCAUCUCAGCUCUUUUGUAACAUGCUUCCCUUGUCUGCGCGGUUGAAACCGUAGGCUUGUUCAUAGUCGCAUGCUCGCAUCUUUGUUUUUAAUCUGGCUUCGAACAUAGCACAAGUAACUUGAAUAGCACAUCAAUAGGUUACUGGACAAAAGCAGAAAAACCUGUUACAGGAUAGCCUGCAUUUGCAUGUGUGUACAUAUCUAGGCAUCUAUUUAUGUAUAAAUAAUAACAGAGCCGACGUGUCCUCGCCCAGGAGGGCUUCCCUGUCAGCAAUAACCGGCAUCCGUUUUGGAACCUGCGUCUGGGGCUCCAGUCGCUGCUCUUGCUGGCGUCCAUCGCCGCCUCGGACGGCCGUGCAUUUUCUCGUCUCACGCAGUUCGAGGAGGACCCUAGAAAGCCAGGAGCUGUGAUUGACAGUAGCUGUAGGUUACCAGACGGCAACAUUAGAAAGUGAUUGUAAAUAACAUGCAACCUAAGUGUAAUAUAUUUGUUCAGUUAUAAGAUGAUUGUUUCACAGAAGCCUUACCACUCUCUGCUUCAUCUAAGAAAACCAAUACCAAAAACGCCACUUUAAUGCUCAGCCCUGCGUUGUGUGUUUUCAGAUGAGUUACUGUUAACAGGUAGGUUUGUGUAGGCCUUGCUGGGCACUCUGUACAAUUAGUUGCUUAUUACGUAUGAUUACUCACAGCGAUCUAUUGUUCCAUAUAACCAAAAAGCAUGGUUUAUUCAUUGAAACACGGUUGACCUGAACUCGUGCCUUAGGAAUUAAUGCCCCCUUAUGGAACCUGCCUGAAUUGCACCUGCGGGUGGAGGCUCCGGCUGUGAAGUCACUGAACAGAACGUCGCUGAUGGAGAAAGGGCUCCCGCAGAAGGAACGGCCUGUACCGUGCGCUCCGGCACAAUCGCGUCUCUUGUGUCUCACUCACGGAAAGAAACAACCUGAAGGCCAUCCCGUCGGUCUGCACGUAACCGUGAAGACGUGUGGCCGCGUCCCACCUGCGGCUGGGUACCCUGCACCCGGCACUGUAGGAGUCACGUGCAGCCUUUCUCAGGGGACUGUCAUUGAAAAGGAAACGUUUGAUGUCUGUGUCAGCUGUCUUUGUAGUUAGGAAAUAGAUCCAAUAAAGCCGUAUUUUUUUGCUGGA
rnacentral:lncRNA from 1 species